AUUGAACGCUGGCGGCAUGCCUUACACAUGCAAGUCGAACGGCAGCACGGGUGCUUGCACCUGGUGGCGAGUGGCGAACGGGUGAGUAAGACAUCGGAACGUACCGUAUCGUGGGGGAUAACGCAGCGAAAGCUGUGCUAAUACCGCAUACGCCCUGAGGGGGAAAGCGGGGGAUCGAAAGACCUCGCGCGAUUAGAGCGGCCGAUGCCUGAUUAGCUUGUUGGUGGGGUAAAAGCCCACCAAGGCGACGAGCAGUAGCUGGUCUGAGAGGACGAUCAGCCAUACUGGGAGUGAGACACGGCCCAGACUCCUACGGGAGGCAGCAGUGGGGAAUUUUGGACAAUGGGGGAAACCCUGAUCCAGCAAUGCCGCGUGAGCGAAGAAGGCCUUCGGGUUGUAAAGCUCUUUUGUCAGGGAAGAAACACCGGCUCUAACACAGUCCGGGAAUGACGGUACCUGAAGAAUAAGCACCGGCUAACUACGUGCCAGCCGCCGCGGUAA
rnacentral:rRNA from 1 species